rnacentral:lncRNA from 10 species
ACAGAAAGACAGGCAUUUCAGGACUAAAAAAGAACAUAACAUAUGGAAUACUGAAAACCUGUACUGUAGCCCAGCGCCAGGCACCAGUGGCUCACACCUGUAAUCCCAGCACUUUGGGAGGCCGAGGCGGGUGGAUCAACUGAGGCCUAGAAUUUGAGACCAGCCUCGCCAACAUGGCGGGGCGUGGUGGCAGGAACCUAUAAUCCCAGCUACUGGGGAGGCUGAGGCAGGAGAAUCGCUUGAAUCCAGGAGGCAGAAGUUGCAGUGAACCGAGAUCGUGCCGCCGCACUCCAGCCUCGGUUGACAGAGUAAGACUCCGUCUCC